UGAAGGGUCAUUCUUGUGAAAGAAUAUUAUUGGUAUCUGAUCCUUCGCCUUUCUAAGUCAUCAAUAUCUGAAGGUUGCUUCACUGCCCUUGGUGUUGGCCUCGCCGGAGCAAUUAGGCCCCGCUGCCUUCCAGGUAACCGAUAGAACUUGAGAAAUUUUGGAUGCCAUUUAGGGACUGAGUUACUUGGAUGACCCCUCUUUUUUUUUUUAAUUUAAUUCACGCAUCGUCGAAUUUGGAUCGGGGUCUUAAAAGACUGUUAUUUAUUAUUGGAAAGAGACCUUAUUUCACUUUAAAUAAAAAUAAAAAUAAUUUUAAUUAUAAUUAAAAAUCAUGCAUUGCAGCAGACCACGAGGGUAAAUGUGGGGAUAAUUUGUCUGCCAUUUUUUUUCCUUUUGUCAUUGUCCCUACUUUCAAACCGCAGAACGAGUUAUGACAAAUUGACUCACCAAAAAAAUCUCCAUCUGCCUUGCAAUUUGGACGGUUCAAAUUAAACAUAGUACAAUAGUGCU
rnacentral:lncRNA from 1 species